rnacentral:rRNA from 1 species
GAUGAACGCUGGCGGCGUGCCUAAUACAUGCAAGUCGAGCGAACAGACGAGGAGCUUGCUCCUCUGACGUUAGCGGCGGACGGGUGAGUAACACGUGGAUAACCUACCUAUAAGACUGGGAUAACUUCGGGAAACCGGAGCUAAUACCGGAUAAUAUAUUGAACCGCAUGGUUCAAUAGUGAAAGACGGUUUUGCUUUCACUUAUCGAUGGAUCCGCGCCGCAUUAGCUAGUUGGUAAGGUAACGGCUUACCAAGGCGACGAUGCGUAGCCGACCUGAGAGGGUGAUCGGCCACACGGGAACUGAGACACGGUCCAGACUCCUACGGGAGGCAGAAGUAGGGAAUCGUCCGCAAUGGGCGAAAGCAUGACGGAGCAACGCCGCGUGAGUGAUGAAGGUCUUCGGAUCGUAAAACUCUGUUAUUAGGGAAGAACAAAUGUGUAAGUAACUAUGCACGUCUUGACGGUACCUAAUCAGAAAGCCACGGCUAACUACGUG